UUCAACACACAUCAAUCAGGACUAACUGACAGGAUGAUAAUUUAUUUUAAUGGUCUUAAUAAUUUGGUAUUCCAAAAGUGGGAAAAGAACAUGAAAAGAAGAAAACAUGUCAUACAUCUUCAGCUUUUUUCAAGAAAAGUAAAGAAUUUAAACAAAGUUUCAGCAGUUGAUCAGGGCUCAGGAAUGAAUUUGAAAAAUCUAAAAUCUGCGGUGGUGAAAAACUGGACGACAGAAUGAUUUGUGUAAGCUGGGUCAGAAGGGGUUGAAAAAAAAACAAGCUUCAGCAGGACAGGAGAAGCUUCCAGUUCAGUGUGUGGACGAUCCGAUGCCUUCAAACGCUGUGGUGAAUUACGGAGACGAGGCAUUCCCCAUGCGUAAUCAUCGUCCACGUGUGGACGACCCCAUGGCUUUAAACCCAGUACUGGAUCAUGGAGAUGAGGCAUUCCUAAUGCUAUAUCAGCAUCCAGUAUCCUCCAGUUAUA